rnacentral:rRNA from 1 species
GAUGAACGCUGGCGGCGUGCCUAAUACAUGCAAGUCGAGCGAAUGGAUUAAGAGCUUGCUCUUAUGAAGUUAGCGGCGGACGGGUGAGUAACACGUGGGUAACCUGCCCAUAAGACUGGGAUAACUCCGGGGAACCGGGGCUAAUACCGGAUAACAUUUUGAACCGCAUGGUUCGAAAUUGAAAGGCGGCUUCGGCUGUCACUUAUGGAUGGACCCGCGUCGCAUUAGCUAGUUGGUGAGGUGACGGCUCACCAAGGCAACGAUGCGUAGCCGACCUGAGAGGGUGAUCGGACACACUGGGACUGAGACACGGCCCAGACUCCUACGGGAGGCAGCAGUAGGGAAUCUUCCGCAAUGGACGAAAGUCUGACGGAGCAACGCCGCGUGAGUGAUGAAGGCUUUCGGGUCGUAAAACUCUGUUGUUAGGGAAGAACAAGUGCUAGUUGAAUAAGCUGGCACCUUGACGGUACCUAACCAGAAAGCCACGGCUAACUACGUGCCAGCCGCCGCAGUAA